rnacentral:rRNA from 1 species
AGCUCCAAUAGCGUAUAUUAAAGUUGUUGCAGUUAAAAAGCUCGUAGUUGAACUUCUGGCUUCACUUUCAGCAGGCUUCGGUCGCUGCAAGUGUGGUCAUCCGCUUGGGAACUACGUUCGAACUUUAUUGGUCGGCGUAAGGAACAGGCAGUUUACUUAGAAAAAAUUAGAGUGUUCAAGGCAGGCUAUCGCCCUGAAUACACAAGCUUGGAAUAAUGAAAUAGGACUAUUUCCAUUUUAUUGGUUAUUGGAAUUAGUAAUGAUUAAUAGGGACAGUUGGGGGCAUUAGUAUUUAA